CAAAACUAAAAAUGUCACCCGAUGUUGAUACUUGACUUCCCAUACCAUACUCUGGAGGACAAUAACCAAUAGUUCCUCUUACUCCAAUAGAGCUGGAUUGAUUUGUAGAACAGCUAGGAGUGACAUUGGAAAUAAACUUCCCUAAUCCAAAAUCACUUACAUGUGCAAUCAUUUCUUCAUCGAGAAGGAUAUUACUUGGUUUUAGAUCACAAUG
rnacentral:misc_RNA from 1 species